CAACUGCGAUAACUAGUGUGAACUGCAGAUAUUUUGAACACUAAGAUUUCGAAUGCACAUUGCGCCUUGGGAAUUUUAUCCCUUGGCACAUCUGGUUCAGGGUCGUUUUUUUCUAAAGCGAAUGCUUUCAAAGUGAAACCGCGAACAGUUGUACGAUCACUAUGCGAAAUCCAGCCACCGCAUCUAUCUGGCUCGCAUUGUGUUCGUGCAUAUUGGAGAAGUCGUCCCUUCCUGCCCAUUGACUUCGAUGGCAGGCCCGUGGCGUGGCAUUGUAGCUUAUAAGCCGCACACGGUGCCUUGCUUUGAGUCUAUUGGGCGCAAUCGCUAUUUCGACCUGAACUCAGGUGUGAGUACCUGCUGAACUUAA
rnacentral:misc_RNA from 1 species